UGAGGAACAUGACCUUCGGCGGGGGAUAGCCGGCCCAACGGCCGGGUAAUACCGCGUACGACCACAUGGGGACAUCCCUGAGUGGUGAAAGCAGCAAUGCGCCGAUGGAGUGCCUCGCGGCCUAUCAGCUAGUUGGUGAGGUAACGGCUCACCAAGGCGACGACUGGUAGCUGGU
rnacentral:rRNA from 1 species